AUCACUUGGAAGUAACAGAGGAGGAGAAGAACCUUGGAGUAUUGGUUGAUCACAGGAUGACUAUGAGCCGCCAAUUUGAUAUGGCCGUGAAAAAAGCUAAUGCAGUCUUGGGAUGCAUCAGGCUAGGUACUUCCGGUAAAGAUAAGGAGGUGCUAGUGCACAAUUUAUAUACA